UACAGUUACUCAAAAACGUCAUCAAUUCAUCCUGAGCUAUAACACUCAACAGAUGGCCCUUCGAUCCAGAUCAGCGCCUUCAUCAAACAUCAUAUUACGAGGCAUUUUAAUCUGCAAGUGUAGUGAGUGCAAUCAUCGUCCAUCAUUAGCCGUCCUACAACAUUUCAAAGGACGGGAAACGUCGAGGGCACAACGUGGACAAAUACGGGCGGUUGGUGAUAAGAAUUUGCUACCUGAGGAAGGAGGAGAAACAACCCCGAUUCUUAGUACUCAACAAAACCCGAACAUUUUGAAAAUGUUGCGCGAUGACUGACCAUCAGCUCGUCGAGAUCUACAUCCCUAAUUUUUUUUAGAAUUAUUUCGGACCAGGUCGGAUCGGUGUCAUUUCUUCGAUGACUGCAACCGUUUUUCCAGAAUCGAAAA